rnacentral:rRNA from 1 species
UACAGAGGUCUCAAGCGUUGUUCGGAAUCACUGGGCGUAAAGGGUGCGUAGGCGCGCGGAAAGUCAGGGGUGAAAUCCCGGAGCUCAACUCCGGAACUGCCCUUGAUACUCCCGCGCUUGAGAACUGGAGGGGACAUCGGAAUUCACGGUGGAGCAGUGAAAUGCGUGGAUAUCGUGAGGAACACUAGUGGCGAAGGCGGAUGUCUGGACAGUAUCUGACGCUGAGGCACGAAGGCCAGGGGAGCGAACGGG